GAACGCGGGCGGCGUGCCUAACACAUGCAAGUCGAGCGGGAAAGCCCGCAAGGGUGAGUACAGCGGCGCACGGGUGCGUAACACGUGGGUAAUCUGCCCUGAAGCUCGGGAUAACUCGCCGAAAGGCGUGCUAAUACCGGAUAAGACCACGGGAGCCUCGGCUCCUGCGGGAAAAGGUGGCCUCUGCAUGCAAGCUAUCACUUCAGGAUGAGCCCGCGGCCCAUCAGCUCGUUGGCGGGGUAACGGCCCACCAAGGCUACGACGGGUAGCUGGUCUGAGAGGACGAUCAGCCACACUGGAACUGAGACACGGUCCAGACUCCUACGGGAGGCAGCAGUGGGGAAUCUUGCGCAAUGGGCGAAAGCCUGACGCAGCAACGCCGCGUGUGUGAUGAAGGUCUUCGGAUCGUAAAGCACUGUCGGGAGGGACGAAUAAGGGCCGGGUGAACAAUCCGGUCCGAUGACGGUACCUCCAAAGGAAGCACCGGCUAACUCUGUGCCAGCAGCCGCGGUAAUACAGAGGGUGCAAGCGUUGUUCGGAAUUAUUGGGCGUAAAGCGCGUGUAGGCGGUCUCGCAAGUCGGAUGUGAAAGCCCUCGGCUUAACCGAGGAAGUGCGUUCGAAACUACGAGACUUGAGUACCGGAGAGGGUGGCGGAAUUCCCGGUGUAGAGGUGAAAUUCGUAGAUAUCGGGAGGAACACCAGUGGCGAAGGCGGCCACCUGGACGGCUACUGACGCUGAGACGCGAAAGCGUGGGGAGCAAACAGGAUUAGAUACCCUGGUAGUCCACGCUGUAAACGAUGAGCGCUAGGUGUUGUGGGUGUUGACCCCCGCAGUGCCGCAGCUAACGCAUUAAGCGCUCCGCCUGGGAAGUACGGCCGCAAGG
rnacentral:rRNA from 1 species